rnacentral:rRNA from 1 species
UUUCCGUAGGUGAACCUGCGGAAGGAUCAUUGUCGAAACCUGCAAAAGCAGACCGCGAACACGUUCUAUCACUCGGGGUCGUGGCGAGGGGGCAACCUCACGUCACGUUCCCUUCCCACACGAUGCACUAUGUGGGCUAACGAACCCCGGCGCGGCAUGCGCCAAGGAAAACUUAUAGAAGCAUCCGCCUCCCGUCGACCCGUCCGCGGUGAGCGAGGGGGGAUGUCUCUCAAUGUCAUAACGACUCUCGACAACGGAUAUCUCGGCUCUCGCAUCGAUGAAGAACGUAGCGAAAUGCGAUACUUGGUGUGAAUUGCAGAAUCCCGUGAACCAUCGAGUCUUUGAACGCAAGUUGCGCCCGAAGCCGUUAGGCCAAGGGCACGUCUGCCUGGGCGUCACGCAUCGCGUCGCCCCCCCAUGCCGCCCCGGACAAUGGCCUCCCGUGCGCGAUAGUGUGCGGCUGGCCUAAAUGAGAUCCCGCGGCGACUCACGUCACGACCAGUGGUGGUUGAACUCUCAACUCGCGUGCUGUCAUGACGACGUCGUCUGUCGGGAAUCACGAGACCCAAAGGUGCGAGCCAUUCGCGCUUUCGACCGCGACCCCAGGUCAGGCGGGAUUACCCGCUGAGUUUAA